CUAGCAACCUCUGAAUCCUCUGCAUUUUGGAGCUCAGUCUUGCUGUGAUGAGUUCCUUUUUCGCAGAGAAGAUGACUGAAAACUUAGAAGAAAAUGCAUCCCAUGGUCCACAGCGUGCUUGCAGGGGCAGGUGAUGGAAUCGGGGAAGACUCAUGAAGCUCCAAACAGAUACCAAGGCCAC